GAGCCAUGAAUCUUGUGGGAUACG
rnacentral:siRNA from 1 species